rnacentral:rRNA from 1 species
GAUGAACGCUUGCGGCGCGCCUAACACAUGCAAGUCGAACGGCACCCCUCUCCGGAGGGAAGCGAGUGCGAACGGCUGAGUAACACGUGGAGAACCUGCCCCCUCCCCCGGGAUAGCCGCCCGAAAGGACGGGUAAUACCGGAUACCCCGGGGUGCCGCAUGGCACCCCGGCUAAAGCCCCGACGGGAGGGGGAUGGCUCCGCGGCCCAUCAGGUAGACGGCGGGGUGACGGCCCACCGUGCCGACAACGGGUAGCCGGGUUGAGAGACCGACCGGCCAGAUUGGGACUGAGACACGGCCCAGACUCCUACGGGAGGCAGCAGUGGGGAAUCUUGCGCAAUGGGGGGAACCCUGACGCAGCGACGCCGCGUGCGGGACGGAGGCCUUCGGGUCGUAAACCGCUUUCAGCAGGGAAGAGUCAAGACUGUACCUGCAGAAGAAGCCCCGGCUAACUACGUGCCAGCAGCCGCGGUAAUACGUAGGGGGCGAGCGUUAUCCGGAUUCAUUGGGCGUAAAGCGCGCGUAGGCGGCCCGGCAGGCCGGGGGUCGAAGCGGGGGGCUCAACCCCCCGAAGCCCCCGGAACCUCCGCGGCUUGGGUCCGGUAGGGGAGGGUGGAACACCCGGUGUAGCGGUGGAAUGCGCAGAUAUCGGGUGGAACACCGGUGGCGAAGGCGGCCCUCUGGGCCGAGACCGACGCUGAGGCGCGAAAGCUGGGGGAGCGAACAGGAUUAGAUACCCUGGUAGUCCCAGCCGUAAACGAUUGAACGCUAGGUGUGGGGGGACGAUCCCCCCCGUGCCGCAGCCAACGCAUUAAGCGUCCCCGCCUGGGGAGUACGGCCGCAAGGCUAAAACUCAAAGGAAUUGACGGGGGCCCGCACAAGCAGCGGAGCAUGUGGCUUAAUUCGAAGCAACGCGAAGAACCUUACCAGGGCUUGACAUAUGGGUGAAGCGGGGGAGACCCCGUGGCCGAGAGGAGCCCAUACAGGUGGUGCAUGGCUGUCGUCAGCUCGUGUCGUGAGAUGUUGGGUUAAGUCCCGCAACGAGCGCAACCCCCGCCGCGUGUUGCCAUCGGGUGAUGCCGGGAACCCACGCGGGACCGCCGCCGUCAAGGCGGAGGAGGGCGGGGACGACGUCAAGUCAUCAUGCCCCUUAUGCCCUGGGCUGCACACGUGCUACAAUGGCCGGUACAGAGGGAUGCCACCCCGCGAGGGGGAGCGGAUCCCGGAAAGCCGGCCCCAGUUCGGAUUGGGGGCUGCAACCCGCCCCCAUGAAGUCGGAGUUGCUAGUAAUCGCGGAUCAGCAUGCCGCGGUGAAUGCGUUCCCGGGCCUUGUAC